rnacentral:rRNA from 1 species
AACUUGCUCCCUGAUGUUAGCGGCGGACGGGUGAGUAACACGUGGGUAACCUGCCUGUAAGACUGGGAUAACUCCGGGAAACCGGGGCUAAUACCGGAUGGUUGUUUGAACCGCAUGGUUCAGACAUAAAAGGUGGCUUCGGCUACCACUUACAGAUGGACCCGCGGCGCAUUAGCUAGUUGGUGAGGUAACGGCUCACCAAGGCGACGAUGCGUAGCCGACCUGAGAGGGUGAUCGGCCACACUGGGACUGAGACACGGCCCAGACUCCUACGGGAGGCAGCAGUAGGGAAUCUUCCGCAAUGGACGAAAGUCUGACGGAGCAACGCCGCGUGAGUGAUGAAGGUUUUCGGAUCGUAAAGCUCUGUUGUUAGGGAAGAACAAGUGCCGUUCAAAUAGGGCGGCACCUUGACGGUACCUAACCAGAAAGCCACGGCUAACUACGUGCCAGCAGCCGCGGUAAUACGUAGGUGGCAAGCGUUGUCCGGAAUUAUUGGGCGUAAAGGGCUCGCAGGCGGUUUCUUAAGUCUGAUGUGAAAGCCCCCGGCUCAACCGGGGAGGGUCAUUGGAAACUGGGGAACUUGAGCGCCGAAGAGGAGAGUGGAAAU